rnacentral:rRNA from 1 species
CAAACUGGGAUUAGAUACCCCACUAUGCCUAGCCUUAAACACAAAUAGUUAUAUAAACAAAACUAUUCGCCAGAAGUACUACCGGCAACAGCUUAAAACUCAAAGGACUUGGCGGUGCUUUAUACCCUUCUAGAGGAGCCUGUUCUAUAAUCGAUAAACCCCGAUAAACCUCACCAUUCCUUGCUAAUUCAGUCUAUAUACCGCCAUCUUCAGCAAACCCUAAAAAGGUACAAAAGUAAGCACAAUCAUAGCACAUAAAGACGUUAGGUCAAGGUGUAACCUAUGGAGUGGAAAGAAAUGGGCUACAUUUUCUAAUAUAAGAAAAUCUAAUACGAAAGUUAUUAUGAAAUUAAUAACCAAAGGAGGAUUUAGCAGUAAACUAAGAAUAGAGUGCUUAGUUGAAUUAGGCCAUGAAGCACGCACACACC